CUUGAGGGGAAAAAACCCACUUUUUAAUGUUAUUUAGCAGCAGUGAUGGGGUUAAAUCCCAUUUUUCUCCCUAUUUUUUUGUGGAAACUUGGGGGCCCACAGCUCAGCAUCCUGCCUGUCAGCCGCCGUGGCCGAGCGUCCGCGCUAAACCAGCAAUAAUGACAGCUUUGUGCUGCCUCGGCCGCCCAUCGGCAGCCACGGGUUAUUUUCGUGCGUCCAAUCUCACGAGGCUUUUAAAUUCUUCACAGGAGAAAAGCAUCUCGGUGACCCGGAGCACUGUGUGAUGGUUUGGGAGCCAAGAAGGAGCCCAAGAGGUCCCACCGGUGCCGCGGGAGGUGAGUGAUGUUCCUUUCUUCUAUUUUCCACAUUUUAGAGCUGUUUUUCUUAAUUUUCUUACAGUAAAUAAAAGAACCGUCCGGCUUCUUCCAACCUGUCAGUCACAAAAUAUCGCUGUCAGGACAUGAAAAAUUAAUGAGGCCUCAGAGAUGACGCUUCCCCUGCAGAAAAUGCCCCGGUGCCCAGGAGCCCUGACUCGGUCGGCUAAAAACAUGGUGGGAGCGCCGGGUGUUUUGUCUCCCAAGGAGCCAUCCCCGUGCGGGCGGAAGAUUUUGGUAAAUCCCGGUGAAAGAAACGCGACGGGAUGUUUGCACAAGACACAGCACACGCCAGGAGGAGGGCGGCCCAGCCGAUUUUAGGUCAGGUGGGGAAAAAAGCCCUUUUUUCCCCCAAAAAUCCCCACCGGGCUUAUUAGGAACGUUCCUGCAAUGGGAUUCCAGCCCAUGCAGCCGGAGCGGGACGGAGAGAGCACAAAGUGUCUCCUGUCCGUGAUUUAAGGCCCUCGAAAGACGGCAGUUCCUCACGCCUCGUGCCGGCGCUUAAUUACCCACCCCGGUAAAAACCGGCCUCUUAUUUCCACCUUGACUUUGCUGACUUCAGCUUCCCCGCUGUCACAUCCUGCCUUUGCCUUUGGCUGCUAAUUAAAAAGCCCUUCAGCCUUCACCUCCUCGCAUUGGUAAUUACGGACCGUGCACCGGCCGCCUCUUCGUCUUUGCGGCAAAGCCACGGCGUUCACAGAGAUACCCGCAGCGGCGUCACCGCGGUGGGGUCACCUACAGGAAACCAACCGGGGACUCUGUAGGAGCCGGGAAAUGCCCCUGGGAGGGUUGAGCACUGGGAAUAUUCCAUUUUAAAUCCUCGCUCCGUUUAAAAUCCUUUUGGGGGCAAACCCAGGGGAUCACUCCUGCCCACCCCUCAGUCUCUAAAUCGCAGUCAGACCCUUUCUCCUCGCUCCCAGCAGCACGGCCAAAGCUACUCAGACUUUCCAAACACAAGCAGGACACAACCCAGGCCUAAAUUUGUCCUGGAAAAAACUGUGAGCAGCUGAAAGAACAGGAGCCUGGUGGAAAAAAAGAGGAAGAAAGGGGCAAAAAAUAACCCACAAAACCAACUUGCUUGUGCAAUAAACGUCUGCGUGUGUUAGCGCUU